GACGAACGCUGGCGGCGUGCUUAACACAUGCAAGUCGUACGGUAAGGCCCUUUCGGGGGUACUCGAGUGGCGACCGGGUGCGUAACACGUGCGUAACCUUCACACAACUUUGGGACAACGCUAGGAACCUGGUGCCAAUACUGAAUACGUAUUCCUUCUGCAUCGGGGGGGUUGGAAAGUUCCGGCGGUUGUUGCUGGCCUUGCAGCCUAUCAGCUCGUUGGUGGGGCAGUGGCCUACCGAGGCGGCUACGCGUAGCCGGCCUGAGAAGGUGACCGGCGACACUGGCACCGAGGUACGGCCCAGACACCGACGGGACGCAGAUGGGGGGAAGAUUGAACAAUCGGCGCAAGCCUGAUGCAGCAACGCCGCGGGCGGGAUGACGGCCUUCGGGUUGAAAAACGAUUUCAGCAGGGACGAAGCUUGUUGUGACGGUACCUGCAGAAGAAGCAACGGCUAACUACGUG
rnacentral:rRNA from 1 species